rnacentral:rRNA from 1 species
UACAGAGGUCUCAAGCGUUGUUCGGAUUCAUUGGGCGUAAAGGGUGCGUAGGCGGCGCGGUAAGUCGGGUGUGAAAUCUCGGAGCUUAACUCCGAAACUGCAUUCGAUACUGCCGAGCUUGAGGACUGGAGAGGAGACUGGAAUUUACGGUGUAGCGGUGAAAUGCGUAGAUAUCGUAAGGAAGACCAGUGGCGAAGGCGGGUCUCUGGACAGUUCCUGACGCUGAGGCACGAAGGCCAGGGGAGCAAACAGG